rnacentral:rRNA from 1 species
UGACGCUGGCGGCAGGCUACACCUGCAGUUUGCAACGGUAACAGGAUAGCUUGCUCAUCGCUGACAGAGUGGCGGACGGGUGAGUAAUACUUAGGGAUCUGCCUCUGUGUGGGGGAUAACUAUUGGAAACGAUAGCUAAUACCGCAUAAUGUCUACGGACCAAAGCGGGUUUCGGCUCGUGCGCAGAGAGGAACCUAAGCGAGAUUAGCUAGUUGGUGAGGUAAAGGCUCACCAAGGCGACGAUCUCUAGCUGUUCUGAGAGGAAGAUCAGCCACACUGGAACUGAGACACGGUCCAGACUCCUACGGGAGGCAGCAGUGGGGAAUAUUGCACAAUGGGGGAAACCCUGAUGCAGCCAUGCCGCGUGUGUGAAGAAGGCCUUCGGGUUGUAAAGCACUUUCAGUUGUGAGGAAAGUUUAGUAGUUAAUACCUGCUAGAUGUGACGUUAGCAACAGAAGAAGCACCGGCUAACUCCGUGCCAGCAGCCGCGGUAAUACGGAGGGUGCGAGCGUUAAUCGGAAUUACUGGGCGUAAAGCGCACGCAGGCGGUCUGUUAAGCUAGAUGUGAAAGCCCCGCGCUCAACGUGGGAGGGUCAUUUAGAACUGGCAGACUAGAGUCUUGGACGAGGGGAGUGGAAUUCAGGUGUAC